rnacentral:lncRNA from 1 species
UUCACCAUUCUUGCAAUUGGCCGUGCCUGAGACGGUGCCUCUACUUGGCAACUCACCACCUGUGACCCCGUACGCUCCAUCUUCAAUCUUCUCAUUCACGAUGAAGUUUGUCGGACUAUUCGCAUCCAGCUGAGCUUGCAGCUAGUUGUGUCUCCUGUCGUGGAAGAUAAUCACUGUGUGAUGGAGGCUGUGGCCUGUGACAUGGCCAUGCCUCGUGGUUGUGUGUACGAUAAAUAUAGAUAAACUUAAAAUCGAUAUAGAAUUUGUUUCAAUUGGCCUGGCAAGGAUGUAUAAUUUAACUUUACAAGGAUGUAGCACAAAAUAAUUUGGCUUGGCAAGGCUGUAAUACAAAGUACAAGUAAGGAAAGUAAUCCAAUGGUUGGUUCUCCAUCUUCAAGAAUGAUAUAGAGUUUGAUUCGAUUCUCGUUAGUGUACGCCAAACUUUAGGACGUAGGGUUGACGGGCGUGGAUUCUGUUUUAUGCGCUUUUUUU